UUGCUUUCUCCGCCGGCGACCGGCGCACGGGUGAGUAACACGUAUGCAACCUGCCCCUGUCAGGGGGACAACCCGCCGAAAGGCGGGCUAAACCCGCGUACAUGCCACCGGGGCAUCCCGGAGGCAGGAAAGGCUUCGGCCGGGCAGGGAUGGGCAUGCGGCGCAUUAGGCAGUAGGCGGGGUAACGGCCCACCUAACCGACGAUGCGUAGGGGUUCUGAGAGGAAGGUCCCCCACACUGGUACUGAGACACGGACCAGACUCCUACGGAAGGCAGCAG
rnacentral:rRNA from 1 species